rnacentral:rRNA from 1 species
GAUGAACGCUGGCGGUAUGCUUAACACAUGCAAGUCGAACGGACUCUUCGGAGUUAGUGGCGGACGGGUGAGUAACGCGUGAGAAUCUGGCGUUGGGUUCGGGACAACCACUGGAAACGGUGGCUAAUACCGGAUGUGCCGAGAGGUAAAAGAGAAAUUGCCUGAAGAUGAGCUCGCGUCUGAUUAGCUAGUUGGUGAGGUAAAGGCUCACCAAGGCAGCGAUCAGUAGCUGGUCUGAGAGGAUGACCAGCCACACUGGGACUGAGACACGGCCCAGACUCCUACGGGAGGAGGCAGUGGGGAAUUUUCCGCAAUGGGCGAAAGCCUGACGGAGCAAUACCGCGUGAGGGAAGAAGGCUCUUGGGUUGUAAACCUCUUUUCUUAGGGAAGAACAAAAUGACGGUACCUAAGGAAUCAGCAUCGGCUAACUCCGUG